UACGUAGGGUGCGAGCGUUGUCCGGAAUUAUUGGGCGUAAAGAGCGUCGUAGGCGGUCUGUCGCGUCGAUCGUGAAAACUUGGGGCUUAACCCCUGAGCUUGCGGUCGAUACGGGCAUGACUGGAGUUCGGCAGGGGGAGACUGGAAUUCCUGGUGUAGCGGUGAAAUGCGCAGAGUAUCAAGGAGGAACACCGGUGGCGAAGGCGGGGUCUCUGGGCCGAUACUGACGCUGAGGAGCGAAAGCGUGGGGAGCGAACAGGAUAGAUACCCGGGGUAGUCCAAG
rnacentral:rRNA from 1 species